GGUACGUUUGAUGAGCAGAAUCAAAGCUCUGGUGUGAAUUUGAACACUAUCGUCAUCAUCAGCGUAAUAGCAACUGUGGUAGUAGGAACCGUUGUUUCUGUCUUAGUGUGGAAAAGAUUCAUCAGUCUAAAGAAUAAAGUUAGACGGAUCGUUGUUAGCUCACAGGACCAAUAAAACAGAUAACCAUGUGUCCGUGUGUUUCUUAUGUACAAAGUAUGUUUUGUAAAGAAUUAUUUGAAAUGCUUUCAAUCAGACCAAAAAAAUAAAUAAACAUAAGUCGUUUACUAAUUCUAAAUUCAAAUUGUGAUACACACAUCAUGCUUAACAAUA